CUUCAAGCUUCCUGCAACACCAGUCCUCUCUUCGAUGAAGAGAGUGGUUCAUUGCAGAACCCUUCAAAGGGGAAAGGGUAAAUUUCCUGUAGUUGCCACAAAUCUCCAUAUUUGCACAGUGGUUGCACCAGUCUACACUCCCACCAACCGUGGAAAAAUGUUCCUUUUCUCCACAUCCCUUCCAGCAUCUGUCAUUAGUCGAUUUCUUAAUGAUAGCCAUUCUUUAGUGUUGUUUUAAUUUGCAUUUACUGAAUGACCAAUGCUGUUGAAUAUUUUUACAUAUACGUAUUUAUCAUUUAUAUUUCUUCACCUGAGAAUUACAUGUUUAUAUCAGGUAGCCAUGUUUGAAUUGGGUCUUUGAAUUUGGGGGAGGGGUGUCUGAGUUUUUUUCAAUUCUUUAUAUGUUCUAGAUAGAAGUCCUUUGUCUGAGGGACAUAUGGCUAUUAUUUUUUCCUACUCUGUGGGUUGUUUUUUAUGCUUUUGAUUAUUUCUUUUUCUGGGAAAACUCAUUUUAAUAAGAUGAGAUCCCAGUUGUUGAUUCUUUGUAAUAUUUCCUGAGCAAUUGGUGUUUUGUUGAUGAAGUCUUUGUCCACACCUAUGUAUUCAAGAUUUCUAUCUGUUUUCUCUUCCAGCAAAUUUAGUGUUUCUGUUUUAAUAUUUAGAUCUUUAAUCUAUUUUCAUUUUAGUUUAGUACACAAUGAUAGACAUGGGUCUAGUUUAGUCUUUAACAUGUGGAAAGCCAGUUUUUCCAGUGCAAUUUCUUAAAGAGAUUAUCUUUGCUCCAGUAAAGGUU